AUUCUAAUAUGACGUGCUUCUUUCGCUUUAUGAAUAAACCCAUGCUCUAAAUCCAAUAUUUUUUUUCUGCACAUGCGUACAUAUUGACUACAGCAAAAUAAUGAUUUUUAUCAAAUUAGCAUGCAUUUAAUAUAUUUCAUAAACUGAAAACUCUUCCAAACUCUUAAAUGAUGCACAUGUUGUUACUAAUUCAUUUAUUAUGACUGUAAUGUGUUGCAUUCCGAAAUUGACAUAUUUGACCUAGAUACGACAACUGUUCAUGCUGGCUGUUCCAAAACUCCUCCCUCUGAAAAAUCACAGUGUCAACUGUUUGCUUCUUUACAAACAAAAAAGGGAGGUUCAUGGAAGAGCCUAUACAAUCGCUUUACCCU
rnacentral:lncRNA from 1 species